AGACGCGAUGCCUCACCUGCGAGACGAUAAGCAGUAAAGAUGAGGAUUUCUUGGAUUUGUCUGUGGACGUGGAGCAGAACACUUCAAUCACACACUGUCUCAGAGGUUUCAGUAAUACAGAGACCUUGUGCAGU